UACACUAUCUAUCUAUCUAUCUAUCUAUCUCGUCUGUCUCUGUUUUGAUCUGUGUAUUCGUCUAUCUGUUGAGUGUCUAUAUACAUUCACAUGAUGGACUUCGAAUUUGAAGAAGAGCUGAGAAAUACUGAUGAGCUCCUUGAAAACUUACAAGCUCGAGAGGGAAGACUGGGCAAAAGCAAUGUGCACCCUCUACCCUCACCCCCUACUGUUCAGUGGAGAAAGAGGGACAGCCAAGGGGAAAUACUUUACAAAUAUCCAAGAGCCAAAAGGGCAGCAACUGUAGAAAGACUAAAAAGAGACCACACCAAUAUUUCAGGUCCAUUUGUUAUGGAAGAUGACUUGAAUGGUGGCCCUGCAAAUGCCUCUGAAACAGCUGAUACUAUUCUUGAAGAGCUAAAGAGGCUGUUGGACACUAAGGAAGAUGCAAAUGUUGUCCCAAUUCAAGAUCAUCAACCUCGGUCUAUAUCUAAUGACUGGGCCAUUAGAACUGAAAUGAGGGAGGAGAGAUGGAAAGAAGCUAGAUCUUCUCUUGUGGAGAACAUUUUGAAAGGAGAAGAUGCAAGCUCCUCAUCCUGCCAACAGUGCAGAUCAAAUGCAGCUGUUGUGCGCUGUAGGGACUCCCUUACCCUUUCCUCUGUGCAGAAUGUGAUGAGAAACGUCAUGGUAGCUUCUUUGUUCUCCACAAUAGAGAUUCACUUGUCUCAGGUUUUGUACAACCUUUACCUCCAUCAACAGGAUUCUUCCAGGCAGCUGGUCAAAUUUCUGUUAAACAUCUUGUUCGACUGCUGCCUGUAG
rnacentral:lncRNA from 1 species